AUUGAACGCUGGCGGCAGGCCUAACACAUGCAAGUCGAGCGAGCGGCGGACGGGUGAGUAUUGUAUGGGGAUCUGCCCGCUAGUGGGGGAUAACUGCUGGAAACGGUGGCUAAUAACGCCUACUAUCGGAUGAACCCAUAUGGGUUUAGCUAGUGGGUGGGGUAAAGGCUCACCUAGGCGACGAUCUCUAGCUGGUCUGAGAGGAUGAUCAGCCACACUGGGACUGAGACACGGCCCAGACUCCUACGGGAGGCAGCAGUGGGGAAUAUUGCACAAUGGGCGGAAGCCUGAUGCAGCCAUGCCGCGUGUAUGAAGAAGGCCUGAGGGUUGUAAAGUACUUUCAGCGGGGAGGCGUUACCCGCAGAAGAAGCACCGGCUAACUCCGUGCCAGCAGCCGCGGUAAUAC
rnacentral:rRNA from 1 species